GAGCUUGCUCCACCGAAAGAAAAAGAGUGGCGAACGGGUGAGUAACACGUGGGUAACCUGCCCAUCAGAAGGGGAUAACACUUGGAAACAGGUGCUAAUACCGUAUAACACUAUUUUCCGCAUGGAAGAAAGUUGAAAGGCGCUUUUGCGUCACUGAUGGAUGGACCCGCGGUGCAUUAGCUAGUUGGUGAGGUAACGGCUCACCAAGGCCACGAUGCAUAGCCGACCUGAGAGGGUGAUCGGCCACACUGGGACUGAGACACGGCCCAGACUCCUACGGGAGGCAGCAGUAGGGAAUCUUCGGCAAUGGACGAAAGUCUGACCGAGCAACGCCGCGUGAGUGAAGAAGGUUUUCGGAUCGUAAAACUCUGUUGUUAGAGAAGAACAAGGAUGAGAGUAGAACGUUCAUCCCUUGACGGUAUCUAACCAGAAAGCCACGGCUAACUACGUGCCAGCAGCCGCGGUAAUACGUAGGUGGCAAGCGUUGUCCGGAUUUAUUGGGCGUAAAGCGAGCGCAGGCGGUUUCUUAAGUCUGAUGUGAAAGCCCCCGGCUCAACCGGGGAGGGUCAUUGGAAACUGGGAGACUUGAGUGCAGAAGAGGAGAGUGGAAUUCCAUGUGUAGCGGUGAAAUGCGUAGAUAUAUGGAGGAACACCAGUGGCGAAGGCGGCUCUCUGGUCUGU
rnacentral:rRNA from 1 species